ensembl:snRNA U6 U6 spliceosomal RNA
AUAGCUCUAGGUCUCUAUACCAAAACUGGAACAAUACAGAGAAGAUUAGCACGGCCCCUGCACAAGGAUGACAUGCAAAUUCGUGAAGCAUGCCAUACUUUU